GUAACUUUGAAAAAGCUGCUUAAUCUUUCUCAGACUCAGUUUCUACUGAGAAAAAAGAUGGUCUGUGAGGUCUCCUAUACCACUUAACUCUGUGAUUCUAUGAUAGCAUGCAGAUUUGAUCACUUAAUUUGCCAAAAUCUCUGAUAGAUCUAUUGUCCCUUCAGGAUCCCCAGCCAUACCCCAGAGAGGUUCUUGAUAUUUAUUGAAAGACUGUUCUCCAUCUUCCCUACCUGAUCCACAUUGCACAUCCUCUCUUUGAUGGUCUGCCUUGCUGCUCUUCAGGUUGCAGGAGGAAUAAUGCUGAGAUAAUCAGGGAUGGACCAACUCUUCCUCUUCUUCAUGUUUCCUCUUUUGGUUCAGAAUCUAUCUGGUGACUCCAUGGUCUGCAAGUUUCCUUGGCUCCAUAUGUUUUGAAAGGAAAUUAAAUAAGACUUCUCUAA